GGGAUGGAAGGAAGAUUGCCCGGGAAACAAGGGAUCUCUCCACUUCCUUUUCCUUCCACAGUGCUGACCAGUUAUUGGGAACUGGAGGUGUUGUAGCGUAGGGGCUCUGGUGCAUGUAGCCGUACAUCGCCGUUGGUGUCUCCGGCUCCUGCUCUGGCCCGCAGUUGAGGUUCACGCCGAACAGUCGGAGCCGCCUCGACGGCGCUGAUGCUGCACUGCAGCUCCUGUUGUCUCUGUCCCACUGAGAUUCUCCUGCAAUUGUUCAACAGAAACGGUGUAAGAGAUUCAAUACAAUCAAGGGCUAUGUCAGGCCAGUCUCAUUGAAUGGAUGGAUGACCACCUAAUAGGGCAGCAAGACUUCCAAGUAACAACCUGGUUCUGGUUGGAUUCCUACACAAUGAAUUGAAUUGGCUGUAAGAUAUUAUUUCCAUUCAAACCAUCCUUGCAGGACGACCUGCCUCUGUCGAGGACAGUGGGGGUACUGAAGAGAGAAAAGCCAUCGGGUAUUAAUCUAUUUCCUGUGCUAGCUGACCUUUUGUGGAUUGGUGCCCUCUUAACAUGCAUUGGGCAUUUGGGGAGCACCUAUUGUUGCUGGAGGAUUGGGAUGCAGAACAUUAUUUGAUCUGUUUUGUUACGUUUUCAGUGACAGAUCUGUAUCAAACACUGUAAAAUAUUGAGGACAAAAUCAGCAAUGUCGCUUUGCUUGGUACUUUGGAGACAUUUAUUCCAUCACAUGGUAAUGAACGGAGUGGUACAGGCCUACAGGGUUAGAUACACAGUAUGCUGACUAAUAUAUGCUUAUGUUAAGUAUUAUUCAGUAUGUCAACCUUUGGGAAACCAGAGGGGCCAUUAGGCUGUUGUUCUGUUAGUAGGUGCGAUCCAUAGUCCAGUCAUAAUAGCGACUAAACGAAUCUUCAAAGAUAAUCACUCCAUUCAUUCCAUUACUA